rnacentral:misc_RNA from 1 species
CAGAGUAUACCUAACCGUCCUCUCAACCCUGCCCAUCGUACCUUUAAAGUUGUUCCUUCGGCGGUGAACUCGACGGCCCCUGUAACGGGAAGCCCAGCAGAGACCCCUUAACUAUGCUAUAUAAUGUCUUCUGAGUAACAAGCAAUGAAUUUCA